rnacentral:rRNA from 1 species
GACGGAGGAUGCAAGUGUUAUCCGGAAUCACUGGGCGUAAAGCGUCUGUAGGUGGUUUAAUAAGUCAACUGUUAAAUCUUGAGGCUCAACCUCAAAAUCGCAGUCGAAACUAUUAGGCUAGAGUAUAGUAGGGGUAAAGGGAAUUUCCAGUGGAGCGGUGAAAUGCGUAGAGAUUGGAAAGAACACCGAUGGCGAAGGCAAUCCCCUGGACCUGUACUGACGCUCAUGCACGAAAGCGUGGGGAGCAAACAGG